rfam:Schistosoma haematobium scaffold970_13, whole genome shotgun sequence.
AUCCAGCUGACGAGUCCCAAAUAAGACGUAACACACUUCCCGAAU